GUGCUUACUUUGACAGUGCAUAUACUAAAAUUAGGUUAAUACAGAAAAAGUUAGCAUGGCCCCUGCACAAGGUUGACAUGCAGAUUCCUAAAUCUCCACCCCACCCCC